rnacentral:tRNA from 4 species
GUCCCCAUGGUCUAGUGGUUAGGACACCACUCUUUCAAGGUGGUAGCACGGGUUCAACUCCCGUUGGGGACG